rnacentral:rRNA from 1 species
GAUGAACGCUGGCGGCGUGCCUAAUACAUGCAAGUCGAGCGAACGGACGAGAAGCUUGCUUUUCUGGUGUUAGCGGCGGACGGGUGAGUAACACGUGGAUAACCUACCUAUAAGACUGGGAUAACUUCGGGAAACCGGAGCUAAUACCGGAUAAUAUUUUGAAUCGCAUGGUUCAAAAGUGAAAGACGGUAUUGCAGCCAUACAUAGAUGGCUUCCCUUUUCAUUAGUUAGUUGGUAAGGUAACGGCUUACCAAGGCAACGAUGCAUACCCGACCUGAGAGGGGGCUCGACCACCCGGGAACUGGGCCCGGGUCCAGACUCCUAGGGGAGGCGCCAGUGGGGAAUCUUCCGCAAUGAGCGAAGGCCUGACGGGGCAAGGCCGCGUAGUUGAUAAAGGUCUUCGGUUCGUAAAACUCUGUUAUUGGGGAGAAACAUAUGUGUAAGUAACUGUGCACAUCUUGACGGUACCUAAUCAGAAAGCAACGGCUAACUACGUG